rnacentral:rRNA from 1 species
GACGAACGCUGGCGGCGUGCUUAACACAUGCAAGUCGAGCGGUAAGGCCCUUUCGGGGGUACGACGAGCGGCGAACGGGUGAGUAACACGUGGGUGACCUGCCCUCAGCUCUGGGAUAAGCCUGGGAAACCGGGUCUAAUACUGGAUAUGACUCCAUGACGCAUGUUGUGGGGUGGAAAGCCUUGUGCGGCUGAGGAUGGGCCCGCGGCCUAUCAGCUUGUUGGGUGGGGUGANGGCCUACCAAGGCGACGACGGGUAGCCGGCCUGAGAGGGCGACCGGCACACUGGGACUGAGACACGGCCCAGACUCCUACGGGAGGCAGCAGUGGGGAAUCUUGCGCAAUGGGCGAAAGCCUGACGCAGCGACGCCGCGUGAGGGAUGAC